rnacentral:rRNA from 1 species
UGGGGAAUAUUGGACAAUGGGGGGAACCCUGAUCCAGCCAUGCCGCGUGUGUGAAGAAGGCCUUAUGGUUGUAAAGCACUUUAAGCGAGGAGGAGGCUCUCUUGGUUAAUACCCAAGAAGAGUGGACGUUACUCGCAGAAUAAGCACCGGCUAACUCUGUGCCAGCAGCCGCGGAAAUACAGAGGGUGCGAGCGUUAAUCGGAUUUACUGGGCGUAAAGCGUGCGUAGGCGGCUUUUUAAGUCGGAUGUGAAAUCCCCGAGCUUAACUUGGGAAUUGCAUUCGAUACUGGGAAGCUAGAGUAUGGGAGAGGAUGGUAGAAUUCCAGGUGUAGCGGUGAAAUGCGUAGAGAUCUGGAGGAAUACCGAUGGCGAAGGGAGCCAUCUGGCCUAAUACUGACGCUGAGGUACGAAAGCAUGGGGAGCAAACAGG